UUGAUGUUUAUGAAAAAAAAUUGUGAAUGACAUGCUGGGCUGCGGGCCAAAUGGGUCUUCUUAUGUUAGUAUGGUGGCAAACUCUGGUGUGUUGUGAGUUUUUUCUCGAGUUUGAGGUGCGAUAUUGAAGUUGUAAGGAGUCAGUGGGGAGCCGUAAGAAUGAUACCUGACUUCACAUCGAUUUCUGAGGGGGAAAUAGUUCCUAAACCCAAGACAGCCUUCGAUCUCCACCGAGCGCUACUGGCGAGUAAGGGAAAGACACGACAUCCAGACAUGUCGGCGACAGAGGUCAAUAAACUCCUCCUUGAAUACGCCUACAGGGGAAGCAAUAUUAGGUACAGAAGCCGAGGCGAUGAAGCCUUGCCGUGAACUGAGAUCAGGGCUAUUCGGUCUAGUACCCUUUGGACCUACAAGAUUCGACCCAAAAGCAAUGAGGGAAUGAAAUGAAUGAAUGAAAUUAUUUAUUUUGGACUGUACACAAACGAAUACAAGUCUAUUUUCGUAGUAGACUUAUUACAACUAUGUUAGUAGAAUUUAAAAUUAUUAAUUGUUGAGCGCAACUUUUAGUUGCUAAAAGGUGUGCUUUGAAGAAUAAGUAGUUCAAGAAAUAAUGGACAGGGUCCAUUAUAUUAUUAUAUUAUAUUUAUAUGGACGUCCCGGCCUGUGGGGUAGUGGUUAACACGAACGGGCGGCCGCCGCUAUCUGGAGGUCCGGGGUUCGAUUCCCAGUACGAGAAUUAGUACCUAACGAGCACAACAUACCCAGAACCGCACACAAAUAUCACAAGUACCUGUGUUUCUAUUUGUCGCCGGUUCUGGGUGCGUUGUACUCAUUUCUGUAUGUAUGUCCAUCGGACCCACGAUAUAAGUUUAGUGCUUGUGAAUGCCGUUGAAUAAUUUACAUUUUAUUUAAAUUAAAUAUAUAAUCUAUAGGUAUUUAUUAAGUAACAUCGUACAGGGCUCUUCAAGAUUAUUUUUUGAAAAUCCCGAAGAUUUUGGUGGCAGGGACUAGAAUUUGCAUACGAAUAGGUAAAAUGAUCGAGGUCCAGUGUGUACUAGUACGUCAAUUUUGUUUCUCAAAUAUUGCAAAGUGAGAUGCAGAAAAACACCUAAAAUAGGCUGUAAGUUUUUAAUAAAUGUGAGGGUAGAUGCAUAUUUCUACAUAUUAUAUAAGAAGGCUGAGUAAUGGGUACCGAUGACCUUUUACACUAUCGAUUGACCCAUGCAGUCCAAAUUAUUCAGGUGUAGACUUUUACUCUGCUAAUGAUAGUGUUUUUUUUCACUUUUAGAAAAAUUCAGCUACUCAAAUAUCUACACGAAUACGUAUACACUAAUAUGAAGAUAUACCCUCUUAUUCUCAUAAGAAAGCUAAAGUGUCAAUUAUUGUGAAGUGUUGAAGUGCUAUAGUGAUAAAACAUAGUUAAAACAACUUUUUUAUGAAUAAGAUUGAUAGUUUUCAAAAAGUGACGUAGACGUAGAGAUAGUUGCGGGAAGUGCAAAAACGUUGUAGCAGGAUCAAUUGAACAGAAAUCAACCACCAUUUUGUUUCUAAAUACCACAAAUAUAAGAACAUAAUGUUCUUAUAUAUGUGCUAUUUGACGCAAAAUGUGCAUUUCGCAAAAUGAGGACUUGGCAAAUAUGCACAACGCAUGUGCAUUUUUCAACAUGGGUACUUCUUAAAAUGCUCAUUUUGCGUUAGACCCUUAACAGGGGAAAUUACGCGCUAUCCUGGGAAUAUUAGGAAUCAACAAAAAUGGCGCAAGAACAAUUAAUUGCUCUUGAAAACUAGACAUUACGCACGUUCAUUCAUGACACUAAUGCCUCACGCCAACUGAUGCGACAGGACAGGACAACCAAGAUGGCGGCUUGAUUAAUAUUAGCAACAAGGGACUAUCGCUCAAAUUUUUAUAAAUUUAGGAAUAUAGAAUUAUAGCAUAAGAAUUACCCAAUGCACCCAUUAUAAUAAUAAUUUAUUGCAUAUAUUUGCUAUUAAAAUUUUAUAAUACCAAAUGCACACAGAUUGGUAACUUUUGUAUAUCAGAAUCUAUGCAUAUCCUAUAUAAAUGUAUUAAAAACA